GACGUAGGGCGCGAGCGUUGUCCGGAUUUAUUGGGCGUAAAGGGCGCGCAGGCGGCCACGCACGUCCGUUGUGAAAUCGCUUGGCUCAACUGGGCGGGGUCAGCGGAUACGGCGUGGCUGGAGCAAGCUAGGGGGCAAUGGAAUUCCCGGUGUAGUGGUGGAAUGCGUAGAUAUCGGGAGGAACACCAGUGGCGAAGGCGGUUGCCUGGAGCUUUGCUGACGCUGAGGCGCGAAAGCGUGGGGGAGCGAUCCGG
rnacentral:rRNA from 1 species